rnacentral:rRNA from 1 species
CCUACGGGUGGCAGCAGUAGGGAAUCUUCGGCAAUGGACGAAAGUCUGACCGAGCAACGCCGCGUGAGUGAAGAAGGUUUUCGGAUCGUAAAACUCUGUUGUUAGAGAAGAACAAGUAGGAGAGUAACUGCUCUUACCUUGACGGUAUCUAACCAGAAAGCCACGGCUAACUACGUGCCAGCAGCCGCGGUAAUACGUAGGUGGCAGGCGUUGUCCGGAUAUAUUGGGCGUAAAGCGAGCGCAGGCGGUCUUUUAAGUCUGAUGUGAAAGCCCUCGGCUCAAUCGAGGAAGGUCAUUGGAAACUGGAGGACUUGAGUGCAGAAGAGGAGAGUGGAAUUCCAUGUGUAGCGGUGAAAUGCGUAGACAUAUGGAGGAGCACCAGUGGCGAAGGCGACUCUCUGGUCUGUAACUGACGCUGAGGCUCGAAAGCGUGGGGAGCAAACAGGAUUAGAUACCCCGGUAGUC